rnacentral:lncRNA from 1 species
CGGGACUUUAAGGCAACCACCAUUAAGGUUUGAUUUAUGGAAGUCUUUCCAAUUUUGGUCAAUGAUCUUGCUAAUAUAAGCAGACUUUGACUAAGAGAGGAAAUUAGUAGAGAGAGAAGAUAUGAACUAAUGUUUACCUGCAGGUCCAGAUACUUGUUUGAAAGUCCUUGCAUCCUGUGAUCGGUACCCCCAAGGUAAAGCCUACACUUUUAUUUAUGCUAAAAAAUGAGCUUGGAAGAGGGGAAUGUCAGACAAAAUUUGCUAAGUUGUUGACUAGAUGAAUUUGGUUGCUAAGCUAGGAUAUGGUAAUGUGCUUUUGUGAUUAUGACUUUUUCGAUGUGGAUUGUAAUACUGUAGAGGUUAUGAUUCUAAGUUUUAAAUCAUGUGAGUCCCUGCUGUUUUAAAACCUC